UGUACACUGCCGACUGCAUCCCCACGUAAGUUUUGCUGUAUUGACGCUUUUGUUUGGGUUAUUAGUUUGACACUCUAUAGUCAUUGUUUGUUUUUCUUGUUCUUGUCCAUCACCUAGUCUACAGAUAAAGCAGCUUUAAGGAACUAUUGUUUUGUUUAGCACCCUUGGCCAGCGGAGCAAGUUUUCACGGUGCAACUCAUGGAGUGAAGUCCAAGGAAUUGGACCAGAGAAACUAAAAGUUUAUGCACCCGUCGAGGCUCUCCAUUCUUUUCUUCAUGGUGCCAGGGGCAGCUACAGUGAAAACUUGACCAGUGGCCAGUGGAAAGCCUACCAUCAUCCAGCUUUUGGGAGGACCUGUUGACACAGCAGCUUGAGGCGGAUGCAGCUUGGUGCAGAAUCACCAUAAUUGCCCCUCUUUUCUUCCUCCUUAAAGGCUUCACAAACUGAGUAAAGGAGUUUUGUCCUUUACUCAGUCCAACUCCAGGCUUGGAGUUGGAGUUUAAACCAAAGAAAAGCCACCCUUUGCUCUGAUUACUGCUUUGCACGCUCUUGAUGAGUUUCUCACCUGAAAUGGUUUUCCAACAGUCUUGAAGGACCCUCCUCCCAACCCCAGAGAUGCAGAUGUCUUGAACAGGUGAGCAUCACAGUAUAUCAGAGUGGAGCAAACUGAGCUUGAGAUAUUGUGGGUUUUAUGCACUUUUUCUGCUCCAAAGCAUGAAAGUUAAUAGGUGAGAUUUUACAUUUUCAUUUAAGAGAAUUACUGUUUUUUAUUUUUGUUGUUGGCCUCUGAAGAAAGAUUUAACCCGCUUUAAAACAGGAACUGGAAAGAUAAACGGAGAAGGAAGUGACGCGCCACCAUCAGCGUCAGCCUGAAGAAGCCGGCAGCCGUCGGCGAAACGUAGCAUCAACAACAUGUAACAAAACCGUCUCUGUGUUUUAAAAAAGAACGACAACAUGGAAUUAGAAAUAACGCACAGCAAGAACACACCUAAGAGGAUCUGGAAAGAUUAGUGUGUGUGUUCUGACCAUACGCGUGUGUGUGUGUGUUCUGACCAUGUGUGUGUGUGUGUGUGUGUGUGUGUGUGUGUGUUCUGACCGUGUGUGUGUGUGUGUGUGUGUGUGUUCUGACCGUGUGUGUGUGUGUGUUCUAACCGUGUGUAUGUGUGUGUGUUCUGACCGUGUGUGUGUGUGUUCUGACAGUUUGUGUUCACUAAGGCUGGAGACUGAACAGUGAUGCAAAGGGGCUAGUCUCUCUAGAGAAGACCACAGCAACCUCCCUGAGCAGAACCCAGUAUCCAUCACUGUGGCAGACAUCCAACAAAGAGCCUCAGGUCUGAAGAACUGGACAGCUCCAGGACCUGACAUGAUCCACGCCUACUGGCUUAAGAAGCUCACUGCACUCCAUGAGUGCCUGGCAGCACAAAUGAUGCAGCUGCUAAAUGAUGGGACUCACUCUGAAUGUCUAACUGACUUGGCUAAUACCAAGGAGACGCCCUGUCCCCACUGCUGUUCUGCAGAGGUCAGAUCCCCGUCUACCAGAUAAUCCACAAGACUGGCCAUGGAUAGCGCCUCCUCUACAUGGAAGACCUCGAUCUCACCCUCCACAUAGCGGAGGUCUAAUCUUCAGGUGUUUGAAUCAUGCUUAGUCCGACCGCCUACCUGAGACCAUGUUGUCAUGGAGACCCUAACAGGGGCUAAUGAACCAGACUACACAGCUUCCAGGACGAUGGAGGUCCUCAAACCCUCCCACCACGAUAAGGUGGCGAUUCUGCGGGAGGGAUGGUUUUGUUUUGUUUUUUGGCUUUUUAAUGUCAAUUUAUUUAUUUAUUUAUUUUAAUUUUUGUGUGUAUAUUUUAUAUGUAUAUAUUUGUAUUCUAUUUUAUUUGAUUUGAUAGAAAAAUAUAAAUUUUACAAAAAUA